rnacentral:rRNA from 1 species
UACGUAGGUGGCAAGCGUUGUCCGGAUUUACUGGGCGUAAAGAGCGCGCAGGCGGUCGUUCAAGUCGCGUGUGAAAUCCCCCGGCUCAACUGGGGAACUGCACAGGAAACUAGCGGGCUUGAGUUCGGGAGAGGGAAGCGGAGUUCCGGGUGUAGCGGUGAAAUGCGUAGAUAUCCGGAGGAACACCGGUGGCGAAGGCGGCUUCCUGGACCGACACUGACGCUGAGGCGCGAAAGCUAGGGGAGCAAACGGG